rnacentral:lncRNA from 1 species
AGACCAUGUAUAAAGUUAAGAUGUUAAGUAAGAAAGUUCAUAUAUUAGAAAAGGAUGUCAGGAUUUUAAACAUGACAAUGUGGCAACAUAUCAAAGAUAAUGGAGAAAGUAAGUACAGCUUCCGCAUAAAAAUAACGCAUGAAACUGGCCUUGCAGCGGAACAUAUAUAUAUAUAUGUCAAAAAUUUCAACUUUUUGAAAACUUUGUAUAGCUACCGUAUAAAUCAUAUAUAAUUACUAGAUUACAUUGGUGUCGAAUGAACUACAUUCUGUUCCGAAAUAUCACUUACUCGAACCGACCUGACCGCGUAGCUCAGUUGGCUAGUAGGUUCGAUUCCCACCGUGGCGUGACAUAUUUUUCAAGCUCGCUCGGUGUGGAUAUACGCUCAGAGUAACAUCACAAAUAUCAUAUUCACCUGAGUACAGAACAUGCACCAACACAGAAAAAAUCAUGCUACUUGAUUUGUAUUAAUUGUGAAAAAGCAGAAGAGGCAGACUUAUACAGCAAUAAAAUUGACAAUAUAGAUUUUGACAAUUAGCUACGCGACAUCUAUUGUCUUCAUUAUGUAGUUAUGCAAUUAUGCGAUUGCUAUGAGAUGUCUCUAUAAAUCACUAAAUUCUUACUAAUCUCUGUAAAUUUCUUAAAAGUACAUUUGCUUGCAGUUUGGAUCACAUGAUCAGGUAGACAAGUGCCACUGCCGUUACCCAGCUGUAUAAGAAACUAAGCCUAGCAUAUAUAAUAAUUUUUUUGUAUAGAUCAAUCAGUAAAAUUAUUGAAGGAGACUGUCUUAAAGAAUGAACUUGGUUUGAAGAAACUGACAAAUUUUAUAAAUUCCAGAUUUUCUACAA